GCCGAACGCUGGCGGCGUGCCUAAUACAUGCAAGUCGAGCGGACCCUUCGGGGUUAGCGGCGGACGGGUGAGUAACACGUGGGUAAUCUGCCCAACUGACUGGAAUAACGCCUGGAAACGGGUGCUAAUGCCGGAUAGGCAACUGGUAGGCAUCUACCGGUUGGGAAAGGUGCAACUGCACCGCAGAUGGAGGAGCCCGCGGCGCAUUAGCUAGUUGGUGGGGUAACGGCCUACCAAGGCGACGAUGCGUAGCCGACCUGAGAGGGUGGACGGCCACACUGGGACUGAGACACGGCCCAGACUCCUACGGGAGGCAGCAGUAGGGAAUCUUCCGCAAUGGGCGCAAGCCUGACGGAGCAACGCCGCGUGAGCGAAGAAGGCCUUCGGGUUGUAAAGCUCAGUCACUCGGGAAGAGCGGACGAGGGAGUGGAAAGCCCUCGUCGAGACGGUACCGAGAGAGGAAGCCCCGGCUAACUACGUG
rnacentral:rRNA from 1 species